rnacentral:lncRNA from 1 species
UCCCCCCCCCCCUCCUUUUGAGCCAUUGUGCUUAACUGAAUUUUAUAAAGCUGAUCGAUAUCUUGGUAAAAUAUUCAUUUUUAAACUAGCGGGCAGCGAAAUCUUUGCUUUGUGCUAAAGUCAACAGUCGCAGAGUUUCAGCUCCAAUAAAUGCCGGGAUGCUCCCAGCUCCCGCAGAGCCGGGCCGGCGGCCGGGGCGCAGAAAUAGUCCUAAUCCUAUAUUUCGGCCGGAGAAAGUCCGCUUCGGCUCCGCACUAGACUAAUCCAGAAACCACAUAAAACCAGAUUCCUGCAUCCACAUCCCGGCUGCCGGGAGCUCCCUACCUGUCCGAGCACCGCCCGUGCAAGGCCGGACAAGGAGCUCACCCUGCCUGGGGAGGGAGCAGCUUUCCACGGGGUUUUUCUCCCACCAGCACUGAAAAGAAUGAUCCUUUAUCCCUGCUGGAAAACAGCUGCCAAGUGCCACAGCCCGCAGGAGUGGGAACGUGGGGGUUUUAUUUCCCGCCCCGGUUCCGAAGGCAGCGACACCGAGGGAUUUCAGAGACCUUGGAAUGCUUUGCCUGUCCCUGCCAGGCUCCCGCUCGGUGCUUCCGUGCCUGCCUGAUCCCACACUGAUCCCACACUGCCCUUCCCUCUCCUUUAUUUAUUUAACUAAUGGACAAGGAGUCGGUGUCAGGGGGAGCUGGGACAAAUUGGGCUUCGCCCGUGCGCUGCUGCCGUGUCCUCAUCCCUAUUAAAGGCAAAGAUUCCCAUCUCCGAUUGCCUCUUUGUGUCUGUACUCGUGAGCGAUACCUGGGUCACGCUCCAGUAAUUCCUGACUGGAAUGGGGAGAAGCCUUAGCCUGGCCUGGAGGGAGCUCAGGAAGGUGCUUGGCUGGGAUGGAUCCCUCUGGGCUCCGUGGAAACGGGGAAAAAAUGCCAACAGCACCUUGAGAAAGUUGAGUUCACUAA